UACGUAGGGGGCGAGCGUUGUCCGAAGUUACUGGGCGUAAAGAGCGCGUAGGCGGGUCUUUAAGUGAGGGGUGAAAGGUUCAGGGCUCAACCCGAACACUGCCUUUCAUACUGGGGACCUUGAGUGCGGGAGAGGCGAGUGGAAUGGUCGGUGUAGCGGUGAAAUGCGUAGAUAUCAGGAAGAACACCCGUGGCUAAGGCGGCUCUCUAGUACGGUACUGACGCUGAGACGCGAAAGCGUGGGGAGCGAACAGG
rnacentral:rRNA from 1 species